GUUUUCGUGGCCUAGUUGGUUAGGGCGUCUGUCUUACAAGAUAACUCUUCUUGAAGCUCACAGAAGAUCCCCGGUUCGAGCCCGGGCGAGAACA